CUACACAUGCAAGUCGAACGAAGCGCCUUUUGAGAUUCUUCGGAUGAUCGAUUGGUGACUGAGUGGCGGACGGGUGAGUAACGCGUGGGUAACCUGCCCUGUACAGGGGGAUAACAGCUGGAAACGGCUGCUAAUACCGCAUAAGCGCACGAGGAGACAUCUCCUUGUGUGAAAAACUCCGGUGGUACAGGAUGGGCCCGCGUCUGAUUAGCUGGUUGGCAGGGUAACGGCCUACCAAGGCAACGAUCAGUAGCCGGUCUGAGAGGAUGAACGGCCACAUUGGAACUGAGACACGGUCCAAACUCCUACGGGAGGCAGCAGUGGGGAAUAUUGCACAAUGGGGGAAACCCUGAUGCAGCAACGCCGCGUGAGUGAAGAAGUAUUUCGGUAUGUAAAGCUCUAUCAGCAGGGAAGAUAAUGACGGUACCUGACUAGGAAGCUCCGGCUAAAUACGUGCCAGCAGCCGCGGUAAUACGUAUGGAGCAAGCGUCAUCCGGAUUUACUGGGUGUAAAGGGUGCGUAGGUGGCAGUGCAAGUCAGAUGUGAAAGGCCGGGGCUCAACCCCGGAGCUGCAUUUGAAACUGCUCGGCUAGAGUACAGGAGAGGCAGGCGGAAUUCCUAGUGUAGCGGUGAAAUGCGUAGAUAUUAGGAGGAACACCAGUGGCGAAGGCGGCCUGCUGGACUGUUACUGACACUGAGGCACGAAAGCGUGGGGAGCAAACAGGAUUAGAUACCCUGGUAGU
rnacentral:rRNA from 1 species